rnacentral:tRNA from 1 species
AAGGGUAUAACUCAAUGGUAGAGUGCGUGCUUAGCAUGCACAAGGUCCUGGGUUCAAUCCCCAGUCCCUCC